AGUGGCCGUGGCAUUCUGCUUCGAAGGACGCUGUCCUGGUUUCGAUCCCUGGUCAAAAUUAAUCCGUAGUCACCCAUACUAUACAUAUACGGUCGCGCGUUGUUUUGCGACGUUAAACACCGCAACCUAAUUUACCGCCCAAUUUUUUUUUCUUUCACGUCAGGCUGGAGAAAGUAAGAGAGAAAAGGAAUACAGGAAAGACAGGGAGGUUAACUAGGCUACGUCCAGUUUGCUACCCUACACAUGGGGAGGGGAAUAAGGGAGCAAGAGAAAGAGAGAGAGAAGGAAUACAGAGAAGGCAGGAAGCUUAACUAGGCUACGUCCGGUUUGCUACCCUACACAUGGGGAGGGCAAUAAGGGAGCAAGAGAGAGAGAGAGAAGGAAUAUAGGAAAAGUAGAAAGGUUAACUAGACUACGGCCAUUUUGCUACCCUACACAUGUGGAGAGUAAUAAGGGAGUAAUAUUGUGGAAGAGCACAUGCUUGUCCAUGUCGGUAAGAACUUUCUUAGCGCACUGAAGUCCUGUGCUGUUCAGUGCGCUAAAAAAGUUCUACGACAGUAGUACGCGAAUACGCACUGAAGACGUGCUCGCGAUCGUCGAGUAAUUAAUAAAAUAAUUACGCUGGUUGAGUGUGCCUUUAAAACACUUCGGUGUCUGCGCAAUGUCAACAUAUGCUUUCUCGUCAUUAUGGUGCGGUGCACAUUUGUUACGCAGUGGCGGCGUUACAGGGUUCUUUAAAUAAAAAAAAAAGAAGUAAGUACUGGGGUUUUGCUUGCGAAAACAAGAUAUGAUUAUGAAGCAAGCCGUAGUUGUUGACUGCGGAUUAAUUUUGACCACCAAGGUGUUCUUCAACGAUAACUGAAAUCGAAGUACGUGGGCGCGCUUUGUCGAAAUAAUGCCACCUUGCCCAAGAAUCGAACCCACGACCUCGUACUUAGCAGGCCAUUUUAGCAUCUACGUUACUCACUACUGGCUGUGUCGCAGACAUCGAGAUCUGACUCCACAAGCAGGGCAUAUACAUAGCAAGCUGUGCUUGAGCUAAUCUGGCAUCUUAUUCUUUCGUCGUUUUCUUCUUGUUAUGCGGGAAAUAUACAAUGCGCGAGAGUAACCCUGCUUUUCCGUUGUUACAGCUGUCUGGAAGAUCGUGAAGGGCAUGCUUCCGUCAGAGGGGGUGCAGCGCGUAAUAUUCAGUAGCAAGGAAAGCCUCCUGCAAUACAUCGACCGGAGAAACCUGCCAAAGUACAUGGGAGGAGAGGACACAUACGUGUACCAGUACCAGAAGGGCAACCCCCUCGGCGACCGGUGCCCACGAUGCACGUAUCCCAAGGUGGCCAUACCGUGAACCACUUUUGUCAUAAAGAGUUCAUCGAAUGUCAACGUUGACCACACCGCGGAGAGACUGUGAUAUUGUUAGGUAGAAAUAAGACAAUAUGCACGCAUCAAAGUUCGAGUGAGCGUCCCGCAGGCCUCUGCAACGACCGAUGGCAGUGGACGCUACAGCUGUUCUGGACAUCGCCAAAUUCUGCAACGACGGCGCUUUGAGACAACGAGAGAGGAUUUGUACAGCAGUCCUCUGAACCCAAGAUGAAUUGUCGACAUGGCGAAUUCGACAAUGUGUUAAUAUUUGACCGUGGAAGUGUGUUAUGUUUCUGGCCAGCAUGGAAGAUAGUCGGUACACUGAUGGCUGGGAGAACAGCUUUGACGUUGAGCAACCCGAGCAACGGAAUUCGUCUUGAAGACGUCAUCGCGACGUGACGCUAUACCUCGUGUCGACAAGGGAAAUCCAAGAAAAACACAACUGUCUUUUAAAACAUGUUUCGUGUGGUAACCCAUGAAAAGUGGAGCCUGGCUUACGUUAGGCGCGUGUAAGAAAGCGUGACAUUGCUUUCCUGUGAGCAGAGGGCUUUCUCUUCGAAGUGUUUUGAUCCGCCACCAUCUUGAUUCGACAGCGAAACAACCUGCAUCGUUUCCUUACUUCGACGCCGUCUGAGCGAAGCUGUCUGCAUGCUUUGCUGGAAUUUGAAUUAGACUCAAGAUGGUCGCUGUCCGCUUAGCUGUCUGCUUAGCUGGAUGAGCACUGGAACACACGGCCAAUGUAUACAGAACUGAGAGACAUGCGCUGUCGCGGCCGAAAAGAAAUAAGUCGUUUCCGUGGUCUGGAACUAUACGCUGACAAUCGCUACGCCUGUUUUGUACUUGUACUUUUUCUUCAUACAUAUCCAUCCAUUCAUCCACUUCAAAUACUUCAAAAGCUAGGACGGUAUUGUUUUGUAUUUGAGCUAGUCGAUAACGCUGAGUGCGCGAUGGUGUGUUUGUGCGAUACUUUUUGAAUGUGGGGCGCGCUUGAGCGAUAUUGACAGCAGUGACCAGAGACAAUAUGUUUUGUCGGGACCAUAAAAUUGAAAUCAUCUGUCCUGACUAAUAAAUGACCGCUAAUGCAGUUUUUUUUCUUUUAUUGUCGACAUAUAAAGAGAUCAAACACGUCAUAAACGACUCUGGGGCUCAGUAUAUAGUAAUCCUUAAGUGGAGUGACCUCAGAGCUGAGAAAAAAAUGUACGCGUUUAUUUUUUUUUCAAAACAAAAUCUGCUUAUCUGCAGCUUCGAUGACACCCGUAAGAGACAUUUCGUACAUUUUUUUCCCUUCCGCUCUCAGCCAUUCCUAUCCUUAAUUUAUAACUAUUAUAGGCGGCGUGCUUAGUUCUCAUGUAAAAACUGGCUCCCCAAGCUCGCCCAGACCAACAAGUUGCUGUAAAUGUAUAGCGUGGCAUUAUCCUCCUGCGUGUGACGUCACUCGAAAGUUAUUUAAAUUGUCGGCCGAACGCGAUUGUUGGAGUGUGUGUGAAACUCUGCAACGCUGUAAAUAUAGGUGAACCAUCGUACAUGCACACGCGACGCAUCACAUCUUUUAUUAUUCUCCGAAUUUCUAUCCUGUAUACAGUUGUACAAACUAUAACAAUAAAACUAUAUUUCGUGAAA